CCAGGGGAGCCAGGCGGCAGGGGCGCUGCCAACUCCGCCAGGUCCGAAAGGAAGCAACGGUAACAGUCGUUUCUGGGUGCCUGGUUUCCCUCGAGGGC
rfam:Desulfovibrio africanus str. Walvis Bay, complete genome.